rnacentral:lncRNA from 1 species
AAACAAAGUCAUAAUCAGUUAAUAAAUAUAUUUGAACAUGAGAAAUGAAUAUAAAAUUCAAUUACACAAGUUACAAACAAACUACACAUUUAAAAAAAUUAGAAGACUAAACUGAAUUUAUCCCUGCAGACUACCAAAAUACUGAGCACUGAAUCCAAAUCUAUACUACCAAAAAAGGUCAGUCAGAAAAGCACACACCUGGUAUUAACCAAU